rnacentral:rRNA from 1 species
UACGUAGGGGGGCAAGCGUUGUCCGGAAUCAUUGGGCGUAAAGCGCGUGUAGGCGGCCCGGUAAGUCCGCUGUAAAAGUCAACGGCUCAACUGUUGAAAGCCGGUGGAUACUGUCGGGCUAGAGUACGGAAGAGGCAAGUGGAAUUCCUGGUGUAGCGGUGGAAUGCGCAGAUAUCAGGAGGAACACCUAUAGCGAAGGCAGCUUGCUGGGACGUUACUGACGCUAAGGCGCGAAAGCGUGGAGAGCGAACAGG